UGCAGGUUUGUUCUACAUAGGUUAUUCCACAAGGCCAUGGAGACACUGAGUUGAGAUUUUUACUUCAAGGGCAAUAGGUGUUAUUCUUCUUAGAGAUACCUGCAUCUCUGAGAUUUGAUUUUUACUUUGUCAGAACCUAAGAAGAGAACAGUAAUCCCUUUGAGCUCCUCUCCAGUGUUUGCUUCUGAGAAGAUAUGAAAAAACUAGAAUUAUCAAUUCCUUGUUUUCUAUGAAAUAUUAUACUAUGAAAAACCAGGGAGUAAAGAGAGAAAUGUUGGAUGAUAGAGGUCUCCUAUAGGGACAGCAUUUUGGAGAGAGCCUUCCUAGAAUGGUGGACACUCUAAGAAGAGCUAGGAACAUAAGCAAAUCAAGGAUAUUGGGUUGGAAGCCAAGAAUCAAAGAAUUGUGAUGGAGGUUUAAAAAAAAGAAGCAAUAUGUCAAACUAAACAAACAAUCCAGAAUCAUGGGUGAUGCAGGAGAUGGUAGUCAAAAAGAGAAGAAGAUCAAGGAAAAAUAGUGAAGAACCCAGGAGAAUGUGGGAUUUUGAGAUCCAGAGCUGCUGUUUUGAGAAAAAUCUAGCACAGCAGACCAUCCACCUAUGGCUAUGUCAACCAUGAAAGAAAGCUCUGGCAUAUAAGACAAGGACCUACAAAAACAUCUGCUCAGGAUCUCCAUAAACAAGACCACACACCUAAUAAAAGUCCCACAUGGGACCUAAUGAAAAAUAGGAUACCAUCUACUUGUUUCCAUGUCUUU